UACAGAGGUGGCAAGCGUUGUUCGGAAUUACUGGGCGUAAAGGGCGCGUAGGCGGUCCGAUAAGUCCCGUGUGAAAUCCCUCGGCUCAACUGAGGAAUGGCACGGGAAACUGCCGGGCUUGAGUUCGGGAGAGGGAAGCGGAAUUCCGGGUGUAGCGGUGAAAUGCGUAGAUAUCCGGAGGAACCCCGGUGGCGAAGGCGGCUUCCUGGACCGACACUGACGCUGAGGCGCGAAAGCUAGGGGAGCAAACGGG
rnacentral:rRNA from 1 species